AACGCUGGCGGCGUGCUUAACACAUGCAAGUCGAACGAGGUUAGGGAAGAGCUUGCUCGGAACUAAACCGAGUGGCGGACGGGUGAGUAACGCGUGAGGAGCCUGUCUCACACAGGGGGAUAACGCAUCGAAAGAUGUGCUAAUACCGCAUAAGACCACAGUGUCGCAUGGCACAGGGGUCAAAGGAGGAAUCCGGUAUGAGGUGGACUCGCGUCUGAUUAGAUAGUUGGUGAGGUAACGGCCCACCAAGUCAACGAUCAGUAGCCGACCUGAGAGGGUGAUCGGCCACAUUGGGACUGAGACACGGCCCAGACUCCUACGGGAGGCAGCAGUGGGGAAUAUUGGGCAAUGGGCGAAAGCCCUGACCCAGCAACGCCGCGUGAAGGAAGAAGGUUUUCGGAUCGUAAACUUCUGUCCUACAUGAAGAGCAGUAGACGGUAGUGUAGGAGGAAGCCCCGGCUAACUACGUGCCAGCCGCCGC
rnacentral:rRNA from 1 species